CGAACGGGUGAGUAACGCGUGAGGAACCUGCCUCAAAGAGGGGGACAACAGUUGGAAACGACUGCUAAUACCGCAUAAGCCCACGGGUCGGCAUCGACCUGAGGGAAAAGGAGCAAUCCGCUUUGAGAUGGCCUCGCGUCCGAUUAGCUAGUUGGUGAGGUAACGGCCCACCAAGGCGACGAUCGGUAGCCGGACUGAGAGGUUGAACGGCCACAUUGGGACUGAGACACGGCUCAG
rnacentral:rRNA from 1 species